UACGUAGGGGGCAAGCGUUGUCCGGAAUUAUUGGGCGUAAAGAGCGUGUAGGCGGUCCGGUAAGUCCGCUGUGAAAGUCCAGGGCUCAACCCUGGAAUGCCGGUGGAUACUGCCGGGCUAGAGUCCGGAAGAGGCGAGUGGAAUUCCUGGUGUAGCGGUGAAAUGCGCAGAUAUCAGGAGGGACACCGAUGGCGAAGGCAGCUCGCUGGGACGGUACUGACGCUGAGACGCGAAAGCGUGGGGAGCAAACAGG
rnacentral:rRNA from 1 species